rnacentral:rRNA from 1 species
UACGUAGGUGGCAAGCGUUGUCCGGAAUUACUGGGCGUAAAGGGCGUGUAGGCGGGAAGGCAAGUCAGAAGUGAAAUCCCAGGGCUUAACUCUGGAGCUGCUUCUGAAACUGUUUUUCUUGAGUGUCGGAGAGGUAAGUGGAAUUCCCAGUGUAGCGGUGAAAUGCGUAGAGAUUGGGAGGAACACCAGUGGCGAAGGCGACUUACUGGACGAUAACUGACGCUGAGGCGCGAAAGCGUGGGGAGCAAACAGG